rnacentral:rRNA from 1 species
CGUUAGACACCAUGGCUUAUACAGUAUAAGUUGUCGGGACCAAAGGUGGCCUCUACAUGUAAGCUAUCGCGUUGGGAUGGGCCCAGUUAGGAUUAGCUAGUUGGUAAGGUAAUGGCUUACCGAGGCUACGAUCCUUAGCUGGUUUGAGAGGAUGAUCAGCCACACUGGGACUGAGACACGGCCCAGACUCNNUACGGGAGGCAGCAGUGGGGGAAUAUUGCACAAUGGGGGAGACCCUGAUGCAGCCAUGCCGCGUGUGUGAAGAAGGCCUUCGGGUUGUAAAGCACUUUCAGCAGUGAGGAAGGUCGUGUACUUAAUACGUGCACGGCUUGACGUUAGCUGCAGAAGAAGCACCGGCUAACUCCGUGCCAGCAGCCGCGGUAAUACGGAGGGUGCGAGCGUUAAUCGGAAUUACUGGGCGUAAAGCGCAUGCAGGCGGUUUGUUAAGUCAGAUGUGAAAGCCCGGGGCUCAACCUCGGAACCGCAUUUGAAACUGGCAGGCUAGAGUCUUGUAGAGGGGGGUAGAAUUUCAGGUGUAGCGGUGAAAUGCGUAGAGAUCUGAAGGAAUACCAGUGGCGAAGGCGGCCCCCUGGACAAAGACUGACGCUCAGAUGCGAAAGCGUGGGUAGCAAACAG